GCCUGGUUAGCUCAAUCGGUAGAGCGUGAGACUCUUAGUAGUCGACGUUCCCCAAGAACGAUUGAUCCAUCCAAUCUCAAGGUUGCGGGUUCGACCCCCGCAUCGGGCU
rnacentral:tRNA from 1 species